UACGGGGGGGGCAAGCGUUGUUCGGAAUUACUGGGCGUAAAGGGUUUGUAGGUGGCCAACUAAGUCAGACGUGAAAUCCCUCAGCUUAACUGGGGAACUGCGUCUGAUACUGGUUGGCUUGAGUGCAGGAGAGGAAUGCGGAAUUCCAGGUGUAGCGGUGAAAUGCGUAGAUAUCUGGAGGAACACCGGUGGCGAAGGCGAGUCUCUGGACGAAAUCUGACACUGAGGCACGAAAGCUAGGGGAGCAAACAGG
rnacentral:rRNA from 1 species